CAGGCCUCAGGACAGUAGCGG
rnacentral:misc_RNA from 1 species